UACGGGGGGAGCAAGCGUUGUUCGGAUUUACUGGGCGUAAAGGGCGCGUAGGCGGCGUGACAAGUCACUUGUGAAAUCUCCGGGCUUAACUCGGAACGGUCAAGUGAUACUGUCGUGCUAGAGUACAGAAGGGGCAACUGGAAUUCUCGGUGUAGCGGUGAAAUGCGUAGAUAUCGAGAGGAACACCUGCGGCGAAGGCGGCAUCCUGGACCGACACUGACGCUGAGGAGCGAAAGCCAGGGGAGCAAACGGG
rnacentral:rRNA from 1 species